rnacentral:rRNA from 1 species
AUUGAACGCUGGCGGCAGGCCUAACACAUGCAAGUCGAACGAGUGGCGGACGGGUGAGUAAUGUCUGGGGAUCUGCCCGAUAGAGGGGGAUAACUACUGGAAACGGUAGCUAAUACCGCAUACCAUCGGAUGUACCCAGAUGGGAUUAGCUAGUAGGUGGGGUAACGGCUCACCUAGGCGACGAUCCCUAGCUGGUCUGAGAGGAUGACCAGCCACACUGGAACUGAGACACGGCCCAGACUCCUACGGGAGGCAGCAGUGGGGAAUAUUGCACAAUGGGCGCAAGCCUGAUGCAGCCAUGCCGCGUGUAUGAAGAAGGCCUUCGGGUUGUAAAGUACUUUCAGCGAGGAGGCGUUACCCGCAGAAGAAGCACCGGCUAACUCCGUGCCAGCAGCCGCGGUAAUAC